UCUUCAACUAAUGCAUCAACGUCUGGUUUACUUAUAGAGUAUAAAAGCAAAGUUUAGAGAAUAGAAUACAAGUUGGGUCACUCCGGUCGGCCGUCAAAAUCCACCCCGCUGUUCCCACUCUGCCCGGUGCGCAGGUCUGGUGUACAUUUAUUUAUCGAUGUAUACCGAGCGCGCCUAGCUCAUUUCAGUUUUACUCACGUUUCGGUGUAUAGGGUAGAGUUAAAAGAAAUAGUUGUGGAUUUAAUUGAUUGUGUGGAGAAUAAAAUGUCUAAUCAAAAUAUUUGUUCAGUGGAUGGUUGUGAAAGUCGAAUGACAGAUCAGAUAUCGUUUUUUAGGUGCCCUAAAGAUAAAGGAAGGUGUCAAGCUUGGAAAAAUGCCCUAGGAUUUAUAGGAUCCCAUAGAUAUGCGGAUAAUACUCAAACGCAAUGUUAUAACCGUAUUAAAAUUUGUAGUUUGCAUUUUAAUAAUGACAGUUUUUUACAAAUUCCUCGAAAACCCGAAUUUAUUCAUACGCCAUCCCAUUGAUUGGAGUACCUAGUACCUACCCAAAAAGACGAUGCACAUUUUCCUAAAGCCAGUGUUGAUGCCAUUGUUCAGACAGAACCCUUCGAAGUAAAUGAGCCAAAGCAGCCGUUACUAAAAGUUGCAGGAACCCAAACGUCAGUAAAACUUUAGCAGAUACGCCAAGAAAAGUUUUACUUAAGGAGGCAGUAAAAACACUAGAAAAAACUAUUACUACCCACACUUACAAAAGAAGCCUUGAAACAGGAAUUACCAUGGAUGACGUUCUGAAAUUUUUGGAAUCAAAUUUUUCUGAAGAAACAUGCAAUCUGUUAAAAACUCAAAUGUUAUUGCUGAAUAAGGACUCAAAAGGACGCAGGUAUACUAAUGAAUUUAAACAGUUUGCUCUAAGUGUGUUUUUUCUGGGUCCAAAAGCUUACAAAAAAAUGUCCACAGUUUAUCCUCUACCAUCAAAAUCUACAUUAAACCGUUUUA